CAGAAGUUCAUUUAAAUAGUUAUUCAAGAACUAGUGAUUAUAAUAUAUAUUGUAUUUAGUGAAACCCGAGCUUGAAAGCCUGUGGAUUAGUGCCUAAUCCACUUUGCUAGAAGACUGCAUUGUGGUGUUCCUGCAUCAAGACUACACUACAGAAUAAGCUCCCAUAAGCUGUCAGUGCAGUAACACUCCUGUACAAUUUUGUAAUAAUAUAAAUAUUUAAAAUUAAAUAAAAUGUUUUUUUUUUC